UACGAAGGGGGCUAGCGUUGCUCGGAAUCACUGGGCGUAAAGCGCACGUAGGCGGCUUUUUAAGUCAGGGGUGAAAUCCUGGAGCUCAACUCCAGAACUGCCUUUGAUACUGAGAGCUUGAGUCCGGGAGAGGUGAGUGGAACUGCGAGUGUAGAGGUGAAAUUCGUAGAUAUUCACAAGAACACCAGUGGCGAAGGCGGCUCACUGGCCCGGUACUGACGCUGAGGUGCGAAAGCGUGGGGAGCAAACAGG
rnacentral:rRNA from 1 species